GUGUGUUUUAUCAUUUGAGUUUGCCAUGUGAUUAGGGACUUUCCGAUUUAAUUUUCCUCAUAGAUCAAUAUUUUUGUUAUUUUACUUUAUACAUGAUGUAAUGUACUUUUGUAUAACUUAUUUCUGUAUUUCCCUAUCCCUAAUGGUCUUGCAUUUAUUUGUUCCGUAUUCCUGUCAUUUUAGCGGUAUGUUUUACCUUGCCAUAUAAACGAGGGGUUUAUCUAGCCAUAAAAUCAGGUUCAACCCCCCUUUGUUCUUAAAAUGUUGCACCAUGUCAGAAAUAUGGCAGUUGUUAUCAAAUAGUCCGUUUUAUUUAUGUUUGCGUUUGUUUUUGUAGCAGUUCAGUUUUUCAGUUG
rnacentral:lncRNA from 1 species